rnacentral:pre_miRNA from 1 species
UUGCUAUUUAGGAUUAUUAAACGUAGAUUAUCGACAAAACCGAUUCUAUAACCCUUAGCCUAUUUUGUGAGACGAAUCUAAUGAUAUAUAUUAAUCCAUAAUUAGCGGCUGAUUACUGUAGCAUUACUGUAGCAAAUCAUGGAUUAAUAUAUCUCGUUAGAUUCGUCUCGCAAAAUAGCCUAGGAGUUAUGGAAUGAGUUUUGUCAGUAAUCUACGUUUAAUACUCUUAAAUAGCAA